rnacentral:rRNA from 1 species
AUUGAACGCUGGCGGCAGGCCUAACACAUGCAAGUCGAACGGUAACAGGAAGCAGCUUGCUGCUUCGCUGACGAGUGGCGGACGGGUGAGUAAUGUCUGGGAAACUGCCUGCUGUAGGGGGAUAACUACUGGAAACGGUAGCUAAUACCGCAUAACGUCGCAUGCCCAAAGAGGGGGACCUUAUGGCCUCUUGCCAUCGGAUGUGCCCAGAUGGGAUUAGCUAGUAGGUGGGGUUACGGCUCACCUAGGCGACGGUCCCUAGCUGGUGUGAGAGGAGGACCGGCGACAUGGGAACGGAGACACGGUCCAGACGCCUAAGGGAGGCAGCAGAGGGGAAUAUGGCACAAUGGGGGCAAGCAUGAUGCAGCCAGGCCGCGUGUAUGAAGAAGGCCUUCGGGUUGUAAAGUACGUUCAGCGGGGAGGAAGGGAGUAAAGUUAAGACCUAGGGUCAUUGACGGUACCCGCAGAAGAAGCACCGGCUAACUCCGUG